rnacentral:misc_RNA from 1 species
CUUCCAUGCUGAGAAAUUCAUAUCAGCCAGCUUCAACUGGAAAUAUUAGUGGCAGUGGGGAUAUUGAGUUCAUGGAUCCUGCAAUUCUGGCAGUUGGUAAAGGGAGACUUCAAGGUGGGCUUAACAAUCCAGGCUUAGACAUGAGACCGAAUUUCCCACAACAGCUAAGUGCCUAUGAUAAUGAGGCAAGGCUUCAGUUAUUGAUGCAACGAUCUCUCUCACCACACCAGAACCUGAG